UUUUACCUUCGAGUUGAGUAUACAUGCAGAUGAUCAACAACAUCAUCAUCAUCAAAAGUAUCAACAUCCGAGCUGUUCUAAGGGAAACUUCAAUUUUCAUAUCAAAAACAAGGCAAAACUUUGAGUAUCUACAAAAACACAUUUUGGGGUACAACAUUCUCGUCUAUCGGAACUGAGAUCAAUUUGAAGUUUGAUGACUCCAUCAUAUUAACCUUUUCUCUCUAUGAAGUACGGGGAACAAAAAAAAAAUAUUUUGCCUGAUAGAUACUCGUGAACUUUAAUGAUGACAGAGGGUAUUUGUGUUGUUGACGUAGGAAGCAGGAACCGACACUACCAUUUUGCGCGAUUGAUGUUUUCUUGUUUUCCUUUUUUUUUCGUCUUUUUUGUGAAUUUAUGUAUGUUAUUUGGAGGAAGUAUGUUUUUACUGCUGAGAUUGAUUGCAAAGUAAAAACUUUUUAUUUGA